ensembl:miRNA Mir147 microRNA 147
UAUGAAUCUAGUGGAAACACUUCCGCACAAACUAGAUGUUGAUGCCAGUGUGCGGAAAUGCUUCUGCUACGUUUUUAGG